rnacentral:rRNA from 1 species
GACGAACGCUGGCGGCGUGCCUAAUACAUGCAAGUAGAACGCACAGUUUAUACCGUAGCUUGCUACACCAUAGACUGUGAGUUGCGAACGGGUGAGUAACGCGUAGGUAACCUGCCUGGUAGCGGGGGAUAACUAUUGGAAACGAUAGCUAAUACCGCAUAGUAUUAAUUAUUGCAUGAUAAUUAAUUGAAAGGUGCAAUUGCACCACUACCAGAUGGACCUGCGUUGUAUUAGCUAGUAGGUGAGGUAACGGCUCACCUAGGCGACGAUACAUAGCCGACCGGAGAGGGUGAUCGGCCACACUGGGACUGAGACACGGCCCAGACUCCUACGGGAGGCAGCAGUAGGGAAUCUUCGGCAAUGGACGAAAGUCUGACCGAGCAACGCCGCGUGAGUGAAGAAGGUUUUCGGAUCGUAAAGCUCUGUUGUAAGAGAAGAACGGGUGUGAGAGUGGAAAGUUCACACUGUGACGGUAUCUUACCAGAAAGGGACAGCUAACUACGUG